UUUUGUUUUUUUGGGACAAUUUUUUUUCGUUUCUUCGUGUGGAUCGUCCGCCCAUACCUGGGCUUCGGAUCGUGUUAUGGCCCAACGAACAUGCCUGUCCCUCAGCUCGUGUUAUGGCCCAACAAAAUUUAUUUGUCUCUCUCCAAUUAUAUUUAACGAUCUGAGUAGAUUCGAAAGGCAAGAAAAAAAGCAGCCAACAGAAAUCCCACGUUUGCCAGGCCGUGACCCCUGGAGUUGGAUUCUAACUCCGCGUUUCUGGCCACCUUAAUUUCUAACUCUCCCCAUAAAUCUCUUAACUCUCGCCAUAAAUCUGCUGGGAGGAAGGCGGCGAGGCUGAUCUCGUGGAGGCAGAGGCGGAGGCGGAGCAUCAGCCAUUGCCUAGACGGCGAAGGAAUGAACAAGGUCCCCGAUCGAUUUCGACUUCAUCCCCUUCCCCUCCAAGCCCAAGGACGCUUCUAAGAGAAACCUAAGGCGGGAGAGCUGAGGCGGCCGGCGGCGCCCUCUACUCAAGCGCCACCGGCUGCGUUACCCGUCCGUGGGUGUGGGGAUGCAGAUCCCCGUCGCCAGCCUGCACAAGGCCACGGUCGAUGCGAUGACGCAAGCGUCACCGCUGUCUUCGGCAGGUGACUUUUCUAUGUGAUUUCUACGUCUGAAAAGAAGAGAAUACCCUCUAGAUCAAAGCAACGGAUUUGUGGAUUUCUGGAAUUGGUGUUGUUCAGUUUCCACCUGGCCAAUGCUCUUUGGUCACUGAUUCUGAGGCACGUGGUUGUUUUAUGUUAAUCCCAUUUAGUUUUGCACUUCAUGGCCUGGGUGGCCGCUGGACACCCGGCACACGGUCUAGAUCAACCCCUAACAUUCAGGCCAUUAGCUU